AUCUAGCUGACGAGUCCCAAAUAGAACAAAACACGCGUCGAACUGGAU
rnacentral:hammerhead_ribozyme from 1 species